GACGAACGCUGGCGGCGUGCUUAACACAUGCAAGUCGAACGGUAAGGCCCUUCGGGGUACACGAGUGGCGAACGGGUGAGUAACACGUGGGUGAUCUGCCCUGCACUUCGGGAUAAGCCUGGGACACCGGGUCUAAUACCGGAUAGGACGCCUGGCUUCAUGGUUGGGGGUGGAAAGCUUUUGCGGUGUGGGAUGGGCACGCGGCCUAUCAGCUUGUUGGUGGGGUAAUGGCCUACCAAGGCGACGACGGGUAGCCAGCCUGAGAGGGUGGACGGUCACACUGGGACUGAGAUACGGCCCAGACUCCUACGGGAGGCAGCAGUGGGGAAUAUUGCACAAUGGGCGCAAGCCUGAUGCAGCGACGCCGCGUGAGGGAUGACGGCCUUCGGGUUGUAAACCUCUUUCAGCUAUGACGAAGCGCAAGUGACGGUAGUAGCAGAAGAAGGACCGGCCAACUACGUGCCAGCCGCCGCCGUAA
rnacentral:rRNA from 1 species